GGAUAAAAAAAGGGCGGGACUGAGACGCAGGAAACCCCCCCUCACGGAUCUCCAACACAAAGGUUGGAGAGCAAGCUACUGCCACCGAGUCUUCUGAGGCUGAGAUCCCCAGUACGAGUGAGCCAGCUCCUCAGAGAUCUUCAAUCUCCAACACACAGGUUGGAGAGCAAGCUACUGCCACCGAGUCUUCUGAGGCUGAGAUCCCCAGUACGAGUGAGCCAGCUCCUCAGAGAUCUUCAAUCUCCAACACACAGGUUGGAGAGCAAGCUACUGCCACCGAGUCUUCUGAGGCUGAGAUCCCCAGUACUAG